rnacentral:tRNA from 1 species
GCCUCUAUAGCUCAGCUGGUUAGAGUACGAGUUUCGUAAACUCGGGGUCCCGGGUUCAAUUCCCGGUAGAGGCU